AUGCCUUUCGGUAGAAGUCGGUUACAACACAAACAGUGAGAAAAACAUGAAGCCGAACUGUGAGCUCCAAAUCAUGGCAGGUAGAAAUGCGCCAUUCCCGCCCCCGGCUGUGCGGCAGUCCCUGCGGUGGCGUCCUGUACAGCAGUCAGUCUGCGCUAAAACGUCCCAAAACGUUCCCACCAAACUGCACGAACAAACACCGAACCGCGCUGUGCGCUGUGCGUGCGUAAAUGAAUGAGCCGCCUGCGUUGUGCGCCGCUGUUGUUUGUCUCCUCUCUUAUCUGACGCAGGGGGCCUCCCCUUUGCGAUAAAACCGGUUCUUAUUUCUAUUUAGAUAAGGAACUGCAGGUAAUGCGCCUUUUCCUCGCCACGGGACGAGACUGAUUGACAGAGAAGUGCGCCCCUUUUUAAUGUGCUUUCCGGCAUCCAUUUAACUUUUGGAUAAGAGUAUCGCCCACUGCACCCCGUUUACAAACAACAGAGGAUCUCUGCGUAAACGCGUUUACAAGCUGCUAAGUAUGCUCACCUGCAACAUAUCUGCAAUCAAGCCACUGCAGCAUUCAGCCAUGUCUCGGACAUCAAGACACUGCCAGAUCUUUCAGUCUCCAUUGUGAUCCUCCAUGCCUGAGCCACCAGAAUCCUAGUUGCCAUCUGCCUUGCUUCAGUCUUCAGCUCCCUGUUUGAUUCACUCUUAUUCAACUCUUCUGCCUGCCUCUCCUCCACUGUAGGACCAGUCAGGCCAAACCUUCUUACAUCUCACCGAAAUAAACUAUAAAAACUGUCCUGUCUUCAGGUUGUGUCUGCUUUCUGGGCCAUAUCUUUCAGUUCGUGGGUCAGUCAUAACAGUCCUGAAGCCACUCCUUUGAUAUCUUGGCUGUGUGCUUAGGGUCAUUGUCCUGCACAGAUGGUUGUCCUUCUGGAAGGUUCUCCU